GACGAACGCUGGCGGCGUGCCUAAUACAUGCAAGUAGAACGCUGAAGAGAGGAGCUUACUCUUCUUGGAUGAGUUGCGAACGGGUGAGUAACGCGUAGGUAACCUGCCUUGUAGCGGGGGAUAACUAUUGGAAACGAUAGCUAAUACCGCAUAACAAUGGAUGACACAUGUCAUUUAUUUGAAAGGGGCAAUUGCUCCACUACAAGAUGGACCUGCGUUGUAUUAGCUAGUAGGUGAGGUAAUGGCUCACCUAGGCGACGAUACAUAGCCGACCUGAGAGGGUGAUCGGCCACACUGAGACUGAGACACGGCACAGACUCCUACGGGAGGCAGCAGUAGGGAAUCUUCGGCAAUGGGGGCAACCCUGACCGAGAAACGCCCCGUGAGUGAAGAAGGUUUUCGGGUCGUAAAGCUCUGUUGUAAGUCAAGAACGGGUGUGAGAGUGGAAAGUUCACACUGUGACGGUAGCUUACCAGAAAGGGACGGCUAACUACGUG
rnacentral:rRNA from 1 species